GUGCCAGCCGCCGCGGUAAUACGUAGGGUGCAAGCGUUAAUCGGAAUUACUGGGCGUAAAGGGUGCGCAGGCGGCUCCGCAUGUCGGGCGUGAAAUCCCCGGGCUUAACCUGGGAAUUGCGUCCGAAACUAUGGAGCUGGAGUGUGGCAGAGGGAGGUGGAAUUCCACGUGUAGCGGUGAAAUGCGUAGAGAUGUGGAGGAACACCGAUGGCGAAGGCAGCCUCCUGGGCCAACACUGACGCUCAUGCACGAAAGCGUGGGGAGCAAACAGGAUUAGAAACCCGAGUAGUCC
rnacentral:rRNA from 1 species